rnacentral:rRNA from 1 species
UACAGAGGGGGCAAGCGUUGUUCGGAAUUACUGGGCGUAAAGGGCGCGUAGGCGGCCUGCUAAGUCGAACGUGAAAUCCCUGGGCUCAACCCAGGAACUGCGUCCGAUACUGGUUGGCUUGAAUCCGGGAGAGGGAUGCAGAAUUCCAGGUGUAGCGGUGAAAUGCGUAGAUAUCUGGAGGAAUACCGGUGGCGAAGGCGGCAUCCUGGACCGGCAUUGACGCUGAGGAGCGAAAGCCAGGGGAGCAAACGGG